rnacentral:rRNA from 1 species
UACGUAGGGAGCAAGCGUUGUUCGGAUUUACUGGGCGUAAAGGGCGCGUAGGCGGCGCGGCAAGUCACUUGUGAAAUGUCUGAGCUUAACUCAGAACGGCCAAGUGAUACUGCUGUGCUAGAGUGCAGAAGGGGCAAUCGGAAUUCUUGGUGUAGCGGUGAAAUGCGUAGAUAUCAAGAGGAACACCUGAGGUGAAGACGGGUUGCUGGGCUGACACUGACGCUGAGGCGCGAAAGCCAGGGGAGCAAACGGG